rnacentral:rRNA from 1 species
GAUGAACGCUGGCGGCGUGCCUAAUACAUGCAAGUCGAGCGAAGCGGGGAGGGGUGAGUAACACGUGGAUAACCUCCUAUAAGACUGGGGUAACUUCGGGAAACCGGAGCUAAACCGGAAACUUCUAGAUGGCUCCGCGAUGCAUUAGCUAGUUGGGAAGGUAAGGGCGUACAAAGGCAACGAUGACUAGCCGACCUGAGAGAGGGAUCGGCCACACUGUAACUGAUACACGGUCCAGACUCCUACGGUAGGCAGCAGUAGGGAAGCUGCCGCAAUUGGCGAAAGCCUGACGGAGCAACGCCGCGUGAGUGAUGAAGGUCUUCGGAGCGUAAAACUCUGUUAUUAGGAAAGCGGUACCUAAUCAGAAAGCCACGGCUAACUUCGUGCCAGCAGCCGCGGUAAUAC